rnacentral:rRNA from 1 species
UACGAAGGGGGCUAGCGUUGCUCGGAAUGACUGGGCGUAAAGGGCGCGUAGGCGGCUGUGACAGUCAGAUGUGAAAUUCCCGGGCUCAACCUGGGGGCUGCGCUUGAGACGUGCGAUCUUGAGUGGGGAAGAGGGUCGUGGAAUUCCCAGUGUAGAGGUGAAAUUCGUAGAUAUUGGGAAGAACACCGGUGGCGAAGGCGGCGACCUGGUCCUUGACUGACGCUGAGGCGCGAAAGCGUGGGGAGCAAACAGG